rnacentral:rRNA from 1 species
UGGGGAAUCUUGCGCAAUGGGCGAAAGCCUGACGCAGCCAUGCCGCGUGAAUGAUGAAGGUCUUAGGAUUGUAAAAUUCUUUCACCGGGGACGAUAAUGACGGUACCCGGAGAAGAAGCCCCGGCUAACUUCGUGCCAGCAGCCGCGGUAAUACGAAGGGGGCUAGCGUUGCUCGGAAUUACUGGGCGUAAAGGGAGCGUAGGCGGAUAGUUUAGUCAGAGGUGAAAGCCCAGGGCUCAACCUUGGAAUUGCCUUUGAUACUGGCUAUCUUGAGUACGGAAGAGGUAUGUGGAACUCCGAGUGUAGAGGUGAAAUUCGUAGAUAUUCGGAAGAACACCAGUGGCGAAGGCGACAUACUGGUCCGUUACUGACGCUGAGGCUCGAAAGCGUGGGGAGCAAAC